rnacentral:tRNA from 1 species
GGAGAGGUGGCAGAGUGGUCUAUUGCGGCGGUCUUGAAAACCGCUUCAGGCGCAAGUCUGACGGGGGUUCGAAUCCCUCCCUCUCCGCCA